CCUACGGGAGGCAGCAGUAGGGAAUCUUCCACAAUGGACGCAAGUCUGAUGGAGCAACGCCGCGUGAGUGAAGAAGGCUUUCGGGUCGUAAAGCUCUGUUGUCGGGGAAGAACGUCGGCAGAGUAACUCAGGCGGCAUGACGGUAAUCAACGAGAAAGUUCCUUUC
rnacentral:rRNA from 1 species